GGGGUCUUGGAAUUGGGUUCAGAUUGAAUAUCGAUCGAAGGCUCUAUGAGAUAACCCCCAGGCGAGUUGGAGUCUUUCCUAGCUGGGCGAGACAAGUGGGGAGGACACCCUGGACGGGUUGCCAGCCAGUCACAGAGCACAAAGACGCAACGAAGCACAGGUGUCAAUGACGUGCUGAUCGCGGGCGGGUCUGCCCUAAAAAUAGCUCACCGGUGACGUAUGUGAUUGAAAAAAACGCUCCACUUAACAAGUAAACUUGAUCAAACCUACUUUCUUAUUGUUGCUCCUUAUCUUUUUAAAUCACAAUUGAAUUAGUGUAAAUUUGAUCAAUAAUGCUCAAAGGUCAGCGUUGUUGCACCAAUCGUAGGAUGACAAAAAUAAAGGUUGAGUUUCAUCAUCAGUAUGUCUUUUCUUUAUUCUUAACAUAUACUUUGAGUCACAAAAUUAGGAACACCUCUGCAAUCUGUGCUUUCAGCUUGAUAGUCUGAUGGAUUUCUUGUUUAAAUAGCAGAAUUGCUCAUGCAUAGCUUACUGUUUGUUCUGUCUCUUGUUUGCCUUUCCUAGGCCACAUAUUAAAAAUGAAUGACCAAAAGUAUUGCGUCCAAUAUAAAA